rnacentral:sRNA from 1 species
GCUGGGCAUGGUGGUGCCUGCCUGUAAUUCCAUCUACUUGGGAGGCUGAGGCAGGAGGAUCACAAGUUUGAUGCUAGCUUGAGCAAUUUAAUAAGUCCUUGUCUCAA